rnacentral:rRNA from 1 species
CACGUAGGGGCCAAGCGUUGUCCGGAUUUAUUGGGCGUAAAGAGCUCGUAGGCGGCUCGGUAAGUCGAGUGUGAAACCUCCAGGCUCAACCUGGAGACGCCACCUGAUACUGCUGUGGCUAGAGUCCGGUAGGGGAGCGUGGAAUUCCUGGUGUAGCGGUGAAAUGCGCAGAUAUCAGGAGGAACACCAGCGGCGAAGGCGGCGCUCUGGGCCGGAACUGACGCUGAGGAGCGAAAGCGUGGGUAGCAAACAGG